UUUUUUUUUUUUUUUUAAAUUACUGAAAAAUUGCAUGGCUGCAUGUAUGCAAGAACACAUGGGUAACUUAAUUGAGACGAAGCAUGUUUUUAAAGAAUGAAGUGGAGCCUUCUUGUCACAGAAAAUUUAACGAAACAUACCUCCACCAUAACAUAUGACUGUGUCAGCGGGGGAUAGAAGAUACAAACACAGAAAA